GGGCAGGUGGUGUAGUGGUAUCACGCUUGAUUUGCAUUCAAGAGGUCCGGGGUUCAAUUCCCCGUCUGUCCA
rfam:Plasmodium falciparum Vietnam Oak-Knoll (FVO) unplaced genomic scaffold supercont1.15, whole genome shotgun sequence.